CCUACGGGUGGCUGCAGUGGGGAAUAUUGGACAAUGGGGGCAACCCUGAUCCAGCCAUGCCGCGUGUGUGAAGAAGGCCCUCGGGUUGUAAAGCACUUUCAGUGAGGAAGAACGCCUGGUGGUUAAUACCCAUCAGGAAAGACAUCACUCACAGAAGAAGCACCGGCUAACUCCGUGCCAGCAGCCGCGGUAAUACGGAGGGUGCGAGCGUUAAUCGGAAUUACUGGGCGUAAAGCGCGCGUAGGUGGCUUGAUAAGCCGGUUGUGAAAGCCUCGGGCUCAACCUGGGAACGGCAUCCGGAACUGUCAAGCUAGAGUGCAGGAGAGGAAGGUAGAAUUCCCGGUGUAGCGGUGAAAUGCGUAGAGAUCGGGAGGAAUACCAGUGGCGAAGGCGGCCUUCUGGACUGACACUGACACUGAGGUGCGAAAGCGUGGGUAGCAAACAGGAUUAGAUACCCGUGUAGUC
rnacentral:rRNA from 1 species